UACGUAGGGUGCGAGCGUUAAUCGGAAUUACUGGGCGUAAAGCGUGCGCAGGCGGUCUGUUAAGACAGAUGUGAAAUCCCCGGGCUCAACCUGGGAAUGGCAUUUGUGACUGGAAGGCUAGAGUGUGUCAGAGGGGGGUAGAAUUCCACGUGUAGCAGUGAAAUGCGUAGAGAUGUGGAGGAAUACCGAUGGCGAAGGCAGCCCCCUGGGAUAACACUGACGCUCAUGCACGAAAGCGUGGGGAGCAAACAGG
rnacentral:rRNA from 1 species